CUUCACUUUUCUGAUGUCCUUUUUGUUUUCUCUUUCUCUUUCUUCCAUAUACAUCUGCUUCCUCUUUGUUCUCUAUCCCAAACUACAAUGACCACUGUUUCAAACCCUACAUGCCAUCUCCGUUUCAAAAGUCAUUCGGCCAUCACGUUUCAACGGCAUAAACUAGAUCUGAUGAUUAAACUGCAGCAAGAGAAACACCGAGCAACUCAAGUAUUUGCUUUUGGAUUGUCGAUUCGAUUUCAAGCGAAGAUGAUAGAGAUCUGUUUGUGGGUUGUGGUUUUGUUUCAAGCGAAUAAUUGAUGGCAGCAUAUCUGAAGUUUUCGGUGAUUUUACUUAUGUUUGCGAUUCCGCAAUGGAUUUUAAUGUGAGAAAAAUGAAGCAUCGGCAUGGGAAGUAGCUCCAAAGCGCGUGUUGGCCAACCACGGUUGCCGGGGAAAAUCGUUGUUGUUAGAAUAUAGUCAAUGAGAAAUCCAUCAAGUAACUUGGUUUCAAAGAUAGCAGCUUCUGAAGGUGGUGAGAAAGGUCUCUUUUAUGGGUGGGUGCUGCUUCAAAGAAAACACAUAUGAAGCCUCGCACAAAUCGAAGGUGCUUAAUGAAACGUAUUUUGGAAAAACCUAAACGGUGAGGAAAAGUAGGUUUGCUUGAGGCAAAGCUUCAUGCACUGCGUCACAAGAUUCACCGGUUAUAAUGCAAAGACAUGCUCAAGAAAAAGGUGACGCUGAAGUCAUCAUUGCCAAGGAAAGAGUAACAACUGAAGACUUUCUGUUGUGUCACAUAAACUAAAAGAAAAUAGAAGACCAUAGGUUGCAAACUCCUUAUACUUAGAGCUCCAUUGUUUCAUCUUUCUGGUUUUGUAGAGGGAUUCUCGGAAAUGGUUAUACCGCGGGCGGGGGUCGAGCUGGUGCGGCUUCAGUGAGGUUGAUUCGUGUUGUAAAGUUGGUAUCGGUGCAGUGGUUGCUGGUUUUCGUAGGGGUCAAAGAAUUGGGAUAUUUUUGAGUUCGGAUAUUUUUGACAUAACUGACCAUGCAAUUGUUGUUGGUGCUGCAGAAUGUCUGAAGGAGUUUAAUUUGAGGAUUGUUAUAAAGUUGAUAUACGAAUCUAAAAAUUUGAUAUUAUUGUUAGCAUUUAUUGUUUAUUCGGCUUACUUGCUACUAUAGAAUGAUUUGAUUAUAACAGGGACUAACUGAGACAAAUAAAGAUGUUCAUGCUGCACCAUGGGAAAAUAUUGGUAUGUUACAGCAUGGCAGUUUGUUGGUUUAAGUGUCAUUAUAAGUGUAGUGCUCACCAGUAGGGUAAUUUUUCAAAGGAUGAAGAACUAAACUGUUAGUUUUCUUUCUUUCACUGUCGCCAAGUAAGGUAAUGUUACUAAAAUCUUUAAACACUUAAUUUCGUUUUUGAUUGUGUUUAUUUGUUAAUUUGUUCGGUUUUGAA